CCUACGGGAGGCUGCAGUGGGGAAUAUUGCACAAUGGGGGAAACCCUGAUGCAGCGAUGCCGCGUGAGUGAAGAAGGAUUUCGGUAUGUAAAGCUCUUUGAGCAGGGAAGAAAAUAACGGUACCCGAUUAAGAAGCCCCGGCUAACUACGUGCCAGCAGCCGCGGUAUUACGCAGGGGGCAAGCGUUAUCCGGAUUUACUGGGUGUAAAGGGAGCGUAGACGGGAGCACAAGUCUGGAGUGAAAUGCCGGGGCUUAACCCCCGAACUGCAUUGGAAACUGUGCAGCUAGAGUGCAGGAGAGGUAAGUGGAAUUCGUGGUGUAGCGGUGAAAUGCGUAGAUAUUAGGAGGAACACCAGUGGCGAAGGCGGCUUGCUGGACAGUAACUGACGUUGAGGCUCGAAAGCGUGGGGAGCAAACAGGAUUAGAUACCCCGGUAGUC
rnacentral:rRNA from 1 species